CACAGCCCCCAUAUGGCAAGCAUGCAGCAGAUUAGGGUAGGCCCCCAGGCCGCAUGGAAGGCCAGGGGCUUGACUGGCAGUUGAACCCCCCUCCCUUCCCCCGUUUCUCCUCACACUUGACACUGCCUGUGUUUAUCUAAAGCAAGGAGGGUGGGGGGAGUUGGAAGGUUUUUGUCCCGGCCCUGAGAGAAGGGGAGGAGGCCGGAGCAGUGUGGGGAGAGAGGUAGGAGAGUGGAGGUGGGGCUGUAAGGAGUGGGGCUGGAGGGAAGGCUUCAUAAAUAUUCAGAAGGAGCGCUGAAUGGAGAGAGAGAGAGAUAAAGCAGAUGGAAUUCCUGUUAAAGAACGGCACAAUCACCCUGUUUUGAGCCCUCCAAAAACAAAAAGAGAAAAAGAAAAACUUCCUUGUUCUCCCUUAAGUGGAUUUUCAGAUUAUAUUAUUUAGUUUUAAUUAAAUUAACUCUCACAAAAGAGCAAGUGGCUUAAAGAGAUCGCUGCAAAGGAGUUGUGGUGAAGAGAGAGCUGAUAAUCUGUGCACAUGCAAACAGAGGGAAACCAGCUGAGCUGACCCUUCUCUGGCCGCCCGAGGAGGGGAAAGCGUCGUAAUGGAACCGCAUCUGAUGAGAAGUCAACAAAAUAAUUAGUGUCCAUGCAGACUGAAAGAGAUUACAACAGUGCCCCUACCCCCAAAACCGGCCUGUGUCUUAAGGCAUUAGCUAAUGAUUAUACAUCGGUCAGGAUUAAGGAGUCAUUCAAAUAAGAUCAGACUUUC
rnacentral:lncRNA from 1 species